rnacentral:misc_RNA from 1 species
ACGUCGUAACAAGGUUUCCGUAGGUGAACCUGCGGAAGGAUCAUUAACACGUAUCCAACGUUAAAACCCCUGUGAACCUUUAUUCGCCGCUCCCAGGGCUCAGUCGCGUAAAGUUAGAAAUCCUGUACUCGUCCGAGAAAUGAAGGAGAAGGGACUUCUGACAUCACCCUGGUUUCAGAGCUUUGUUAGUGGCUUGUUUUUCACCAAGCAAUCAGUGAGUGUGGUUGUCUCCCAUUGCCGCUCCGCGCUAACAACGCCGAGCAUUGAAAACGUACUAAAUAACUGUUAACAAUGGAUAUCUUGGUUCU